rnacentral:misc_RNA from 1 species
GAGAAGAACGUAGCAAAAUGCGAUACUUGGUGUGAAUUGCAGAAUCCCGUGAACCAUCGAGUUUUUGAACGCAAGUUGCGCCCGAAGCCUUUUGGCCGAGGGCACGUCUGCCUGGGCGUCACGCAUCGCGUCGCCCCCCACAAUUCUCCGUAAAGGGAACGUGUGUUUUGGGGGCGGAUAUUGGUCUCCCGUGCUCAUGGCGUGGUUGGCCGAAAUAGGAGUCCUUUCGAUGGACGCACGAACUAGUGGUGGUCGUAAAAACCCUCGUCUUUUGUUUCGUGCUGUUGCUCGCAAGGUAAACUCUUUAAAAACCCCAAUGUGUCGUCUCUUGACGACGCUUCGACCGCGACCCCAGGUCAGGCGGGACUACCCGCUGAGUUUAAGCAUAUCAAUAAGCGGAGGA